UUGGGCUAAACCGAACCAAGACACCGUCGCACCGCUGUAAAUUUCUACUGGCACCGAUGUAAUUUUACUUUUCCUCCUGACCGCUGUAAUUUUACUUUUCGCUUGAUAGUUAGCUGAUCGUGGGGAUUGGGAGAUACCCCGUUCCCCAUCCUAUUCUAUACGAGCGGUUUCUGGAGUCUGGAUAGCGCGCGUCGAACGUUAACGGGAGGUCCUCGGCGGCAAAUCUUCAGCGGUGCUCGUCGAUACUGCUCGGUGUUGGCGGCCCACCUCCCGUUCUAUUCCAAUCAGGCGAUGCAGUGAGGGGCUGCUCAUGGGAUCAACAGUGCGGUGGUCGGCGGGCAGGCGGGGCGGCAUGGUGCUCAACGGCUGGUGUCGAUGUUGGGCGGCCCUCGUAUAUAUGGUGGUCGCGGUGGCUCUACCGUGAAUGGAUGCGGCGGCUCUGCGGCUGAUUGAGUGUUUGGGGUUGUCUGCCUGAAGCUGCAAUAGUUUAGGAAGAAGAUGGAGAAGAAGUAUCCUGGGAAGUAGGCAGAAGCUGACACGGACGAGGGGGCACGUGUGCCAUCUCCUAGAUGUGGAGAGCGGCAACAGCCAUAUAGCACCCCAUUUGAGGUGAACUUUGUGUUUCAGAUACCUUUCUGAGUGUGGUGCGUGGAGUUGAGCGAGUCAUUGGUGUGUGUAAUACUCAUCCACAGGAAGCCGCAAGGUUGCAGGUGGGGAGCUCAUGGGAGGAUGUGAGAAACCCUGAUCCCAGUUCCAAUAUGUUUACACUUCUUUUAUGUCUGUGUUCUUCCCAAAUUUUCUGUUUUUCUGAAGCAAUAAGGGAAGGGGGUAUCCAACCUGAAAAGGAAUUUCAUUAAUUAAGGACCAGUGUUACAACUCUUAGGGAACUGGUUCUUUCCAAAUUGCUAAAUCGGUGUUCGAUUUCUGUCGAAUAGGUAGUAUGGAGAGAUCAUGAGACGAAAUGUCAUACCUGGUAUAUGCGCGCUCGUGUUUGCAUGGUAUACUUUUUUUUAUUGUUUUAUAUUAGACAUGCAAUGUUUUUGGAAGCUCUGGUUGUGUUACUGUUUUUUAAGUUCAUGCUGGGAGAGUAUGAAUAUUGAUAAUAGUCGUGAUUCUAGUCGGAGUAAUGCAAAUGUCAUACAGUUUCUUCAGGCUUACACCAUAUAACCAAUUGAAGCAUGGAACUGAUGUUAUCACCUUGUUUCAGUCCCAUGUACUUCUAAGUGACAGCUGAGAACACUGCAUUUCAUUAAUCAUUUUCUUUUUCACACAAUUUUCAGAAGCUAACUCAAGUAGUUAGACAAGUGCAUAAGAAUUGCCAUGGUAGGCCGGUGCGUCCUCUGAUUGCUCUGCAUGUGAUGCCUGCUUGCGACAUGAACAACAACCUCAGGUACAUCUCAGUCAGGAUCAGAGGAAAAUAAAGCUAUUUCUUCCGUGCCAUUUGGAGAUGGGUAUUAGUUUACCAGUGGUCAAGAAAACGGCACCACAUGAUCCUAUAUAGAAUGUACUGCCUACUGAAACAAUGGGAAAAUGAGACAUGCAUUGAAACAAAAAUAACUGACUGGAGUUUAGGCUAGCAAAAAAUCUGUACGUACAGUUCUCUACAUGAGUAACAUUGAUUAUUUCGAGAAAAGCAACCAGCUAUUAUAUCUUCAGCCGACUGCAUGAGUAACAUUGAUUAUUUAUCUGAAUCCAGAGUAGUCAAUUUUUUCUCGUUUGAUGCUGUUUGGCUUGGUUAGUACCAAUUUCCAGUUAGAUUUAUUUCCAUUGCAAAGAGGUGAAUUCUGAUCCUCUUCAGGGCGUCAAUCUUUGCUGGGUUUUAUUUUCGGUACUUUUUGUUUCAUUACAGUGCAAUGAGGAACUUGGAGGUUAGUUGCGCCCAUUUUAUAAAUCAACACGCAUGAAUCUUGAUUAUGUAUGAGAUUAUUCUGAGAUAUUGCCAACAUUUUUUAUGUUUUGGAGAAUGAAUUUAUCUCUUGUGAUAAACUGAGGAGGGUGAAGGCUAUGGUUGUCUGUGCAGACUGUGAGAUGAAUAUCUCUACAGCUGGCAAUUGCUUCUUUUAUAUGGUUGGCCGGUGUGCUGCUUCCGUGGUCUUGUUGGAAGGGCAUAGGGGUCCCCUAGUUGCUGCGGCGUGUCGGGGGUGGCAUGAGCCCGAUACUCCUUGUAGACUAGGUGUCGCUCCUAAGUAUUGUCUCGGCUAUCUCCGUUGCUUUGCUUAUUGUCUGCAGCAUCCUCUGUGCAUUUUCUCGUCCUUGAGUGUGAUGUGUUGUUCAACAGGUGAAGUUUCUGCCUCCAUAAGCUCGGCUUAGCACAGUGGCGAUGGUCAUUUUGUAUUCCGGUUGGUCUCAACGGUUGUUUUCACCUUAGGUCUCGAGGGAGCGUCUCCAUCUUCCAAUGGAUUGUUGCCUCCCGUGCCAAGGCGAGGGGGCAGGGAGUGCCCUCCGGAGAUGGAUGAGGUCACAACUAAUUUUCUCUUGUGCCCAUGGUGAUGUCGAGGACGCUUCCUCUCCUGCUGGUUGUUCAUCGUUCCCAAGGCUCUGCUUUUGCUGCUGAUUACUGUCUUGUUCGUCGAGAAGGGCUUCAUCUACUUUAAGCUGGAAAUGUGCCUUAGUUGUUUAUCUUAGCUUGUUGCUUUUGUUGUAACUUGUGAGUGGUUUGCUGAACCCCUUGUAUCUUUUGUUGUUUUCUUUUCUUUGUUUGUUGGUGUUUUCUUAGAGAUGUUGGUGGUUAUUGUAAUUCUAGCCGGCUGGUCGCUUUGUUAAUUCAAAGUUGGGUUAAGCUCGAGUCUUUUUUUUAAA